rnacentral:rRNA from 1 species
UACGGGGGGGAGCAAGCGUUGUUCGGAUUUACUGGGCGUAAAGCGCACGUAGGUGGUUUGCUAAGUCAGAUGUGAAAUCCCCGGGCUUAACCUGGGAACUGCAUUUGUGACUGGCAGGCUAGAGUAUGGCAGAGGGGGGGUAGAAUUCCACGUGUAGCAGUGAAAUGCGUAGAUAUCUGGAGGAAUACCGGUGGCGAAGGCGGCAUCCUGGACCGGCAUUGACGCUGAGGAGCGAAAGCUAGGGGAGCAAACGGG